rnacentral:rRNA from 1 species
GACGAACGCUGGCGGCGUGCCUAAUACAUGCAAGUAGAACGCACAGUAUAUACCGUAGCUUGCUACACCAUAAACUGUGCGUUGCGAACGGGCGAGUAACGCGUAGGUAACCUGCCUGGUAGCGGGGGAUAACUAUUGCAAACGAUAGCUAAUACCGCAUAAUAUUAAUUAUUGCAUGAUAAUUGAUUGAAAGAUGCAAUUGCAUCACUACCAGAUGGACCUGCGUUGUAUUAGCUAGUAGGUGAGGUAACGGCUCACCUAGGCGACGAUACAUAGCCGACCUGAAAGGGAGAUCGGCCACACUGGGGCUGAGACACGGCCCAGACUCCCUCGGGAGGCAGCAGUAGGGAAUCUUCGGCAAUGGACGAAAGUCUGACCGAGCGACGCCGCGUGAGUGUAGAAGGUUUUCGGCUCGUAAAGCUCUGUUGUAAGAGAAGAACGGGUGUGAGAGUGGAAAGUUCACAAUGUGACGGUAUCUUACCAGAAAGGGACGGCUAACUACGUG